UUGCAAUGAUGAAUCAGGUUCCAAAGCCAUUCGUAGUUUCCACCAGAAGUCUACUAAUGAUGGCCAAAAAACCUUCCUUGGAUGUCUGAGCGA
rfam:Phalacrocorax carbo contig26810, whole genome shotgun sequence.